CCGUGGCAGGCAUUUUGCUGAAGUUCCAGAGUCCAGAAGUUCAGAAUCGGUAUCAUCACUGCGCAGAAGUCAGAUAUCAUCAGGCUCCAGGGGAGAAUCGUUUCCUCACCUUGCCCCCACCGGGCUUCCGGGGUCUGCGGCGGUUCAUCACUCCAGACAUCAAAGCCAGCAUCUUCAAAUCACUCUGCUCUGCCUUCAUGUUGCCUUCGCCUCUGUGUCACACCUCACUCUGCUUCUCUCUGACAAGGACACUGUG
rnacentral:lncRNA from 1 species